rnacentral:rRNA from 1 species
UACGUAGGGUCCGAGCGUUGUCCGGAAUUACUGGGCGUAAAGAGCUCGUAGGCGGCUUGGCAAGUCGGGUGUGAAACCUCCAGGCUCAACCUGGAGACGCCACUCGAUACUGCCAUGGCUAGAGUCCGGUAGGGGACCACGGAAUUCCUGGUGUAGCGGUGAAAUGCGCAGAUAUCAGGAGGAACACCGGUGGCGAAGGCGGUGGUCUGGGCCGGCACUGACGCUGAGGAGCGAAAGCGUGGGUAGCAAACAGG